rnacentral:rRNA from 1 species
GACGAACGCUGGCGGCGUGCCUAAUACAUGCAAGUAGAACGCUGAAGGAGGAGCUUGCUUCUCUGGAUGAGUUGCGAACGGGUGAGUAACGCGUAGGUAACCUGCCUGGUAGCGGGGGAUAACUAUUGGAAACGAUAGCUAAUACCGCAUAAGAGUAGAUGUUGCAUGACAUUUGCUUAAAAGGUGCAAUUGCAUCACUACCAGAUGGACCUGCGUUGUAUUAGCUAGUUGGUGGGGUAACGGCUUACCAAGGCGACGAUACAUAGCCGACCUGAGAGGGUGAUCGGCCACACUGGGACUGAGACACGGCCCAGACUCCUACGGGAGGCAGCAGUAGGGAAUCUUCGGCAAUGGACGGAAGUCUGACCGAGCAACGCCGCGUGAGUGAAGAAGGUUUUCGGAUCGUAAAGCUCUGUUGUAAGAGAAGAACGAGUGUGAGAGUGGAAAGUUCACACUGUGACGGCAUCUUACCAGAAAGGGACGGCUAACUACGUG